rnacentral:rRNA from 1 species
GACGAACGCUGGCGGCGUGCUUAACACAUGCAAGUCGAACGGAAAGGCCCUGCUUUUGUGGGGUGCUCGAGUGGCGAACGGGUGAGUAACACGUGAGUAACCUGCCCUUGACUUUGGGAUAACUUCAGGAAACUGGGGCUAAUACCGGAUAGGAGCUCCUGCUGCAUGGUGGGGGUUGGAAAGUUUCGGCGGUUGGGGAUGGACUCGCGGCUUAUCAGCUUGUUGGUGGGGUAGUGGCUUACCAAGGCUUUGACGGGUAGCCGGCCUGAGAAGGUGACCGGCCACAGUGGGACUGGGAAACGGCCCAGACUCCUGCGGGAGGAAACAGGGUGGAAUAUUUCACAAUGGGCGGAAGCCUGAUGCAGCAACGCCGCGUGCUGGAUGAAGGCCUUCGGGUUGUAAACCGCGUUCGCCUGUGAAGAAGCGUGGGUGACGGUAAUGGGUAAAGAAGCGCCGGCUAACUACGUG